AAAUGUUUUGUUUGAAUGUAAAAUGAACACAUUAGUCUCACAUUGAUUAAAAUUGAUUGAAUUGAAUACUUAAAGCAAUACAAUUGGGUUUGCACACAAAACGGCACCUCCUGAGCAGCAGGGGCAGUAACGCUCAAUGAGAAGGACGUCAACUGCCAUAAAAGAAGAAUAAACAUCGUUUGUUUUGGGCGCCAAAAUGAAGACUCAGCAGCAGUCAGUCAGAAGAACUCUCUCAGACGGACACCACGUUAUUAAAGUCCAUCAUCCUUGCACACACUCAAAAGCAUUGAUAAAUGCUGAAUUUAAAAGAAUCACUACUGUCUAAUGUUCCUGUGUCACCUGGACCUCCAAUCCAAAAACCUGAUGAAACUCUUCUAUCAGAAAGGAGGACAGCUAGCAAAAAGACUUCAAACAAUUAAUGAUCAAAUGACAGAAGUAAGUAAUAUAGAUUCAUAGACAUAAAAAUGUGUAAACCUUGUUGGAAGUACAGAAAAUGUAUUAUGUUUUAGUUACAUCUUUUGGCACAAGGGUCAUUAAAACACCUGGGAAGAUUUAAAGGGGUAGUUCACCCAAAAAUAAAAAUUCUCAUCACUUACUCCCUAUCAUGUUGUU